GCGAGUCUGAACAGGGCGCCAAGUCGGGGGGGGUAGACGCGAAACCGAGUGAUCUACCCUUGGCCAGGUUGAAGGUUGGGUAACACCAACUGGAGGACCGGAUGGGUAAGCGUUGAAAAGCUUUCCAAUGAGCUGAGGGUAGGGGUGAAAGGCUAAUCAAACUCGGAGAUAGCUCGUACUCCCCGAAAUGCAUUUAGGUGCAGCCUCUUUAUAGUAUAUCGUGAGGUAGAGCGACUGAUUGGAUGCGAGGGCUUCACCGCCUAUCAAGUCCAGAUAAACUCCGAAUGCGCGAUAUAUAUUUACAGGGAGUGAGGGCGCGGGUGCUAAGGUCCGUGUCCGAGAGGAGAAGAAUCCAGACCACCGGCUAAGGCCCCCAAAUGAUCGUUAAGUUGAACUAACGAGGUCGGAUCGCAGAGACAGCUAGGAUGUUGGCUUGGAAGCAGCCAUUCAUUUAAAGAGUGCGUAACAGCUCACUAGUCGAGCGAUCUGGCGUGGAUAAUAAUCGGGCAUAAACGAUCUGCCGAAGCCGUGGAUGUCGCAAGACAUGGUAGGGGAGCAUUCCAUGCCGCGUCGAAGAUGAGGGGUGACCCUUGUUGGAGCGCAUGGAAAAGCAAAUGUAGGUAUGAGUAACGAUAAGGGGGGCGAGAACCCCCCCCGCCGAAAGACCAAGGUUUCCUGAUCAACGCUAAUCGGAUCAGGGUGAGUCGGGACCUAAGGCAAAGCCGAACGGCGCCGCCGAUGGAAGAAUGGGUUAAUAUUCCCAUACUGCCUCAUGGAGUGACGUGGAGACGGAGAAGUGACAGUCCUGCCGGCUGACGGAAUAGCCGGUUGAAGGGUGUAGAUAUUGAUUCCCGUAGGCAAAUCCGCGGGGAGAGUCGAACCUGAGAGUAUACGGAGCGCUUGCGCAACGUAAUAUGGACGUAACCAUGCUCCCGAGAAAAUCCGCUAAACUUAUCCAUGCGGCACCCGUACCGUAAACGGACACACGUGGUCGGGUUGAGAAUACUGAGGCGCUCGAGUGAUUCACGGUUAAGGAACUAGGCAAAUUGACCCUGUAACUUCGGGAUAAAGGGUCCUCGUCGUAAGGCGAGGCGCAGAGAAUAGGUCCAGGCAACUGUUUAACAAAAACACAUGGCUGUGCUAAAUGGAAACAUGAUGUAUACAGCCUGACACCUGCCCGGUGCCGGAAGGUUAAGAGGAGAUGUCAUCCGCGAGGAGAAGCGUUGAAU
rnacentral:rRNA from 1 species